AUUGAACGCUGGCGGCAGGCCUAACACAUGCAAGUCGAACGAGUGGCGGACGGGUGAGUAAUGUCUGGGCCUGUGCCUGAUGGAGGGGGUUAACUACUGGAAACGGUAGCUAAUAACGCAUACAAUAGGAUGGGCCGAGUUGGGAUUAGCGUGUGGUAGGGGUAACGGCUCACCAAGGCGACGAUCCCUAGCUGGUCUGAGAGGAUGACCAGCCACACUGGAACUGAGACACGGUCCAGACUCCUACGGGAGGCAGCAGUGGGGAAUAUUGCACAAUGGGCGAAAGCCUGAUGCAGCCAUGCCGCGUGUAUGAAGAAGGCCUUCGGGUUGUAAAGUACUUUCAGUGGGGAGGCGUUACCCACAGAAGAAGCACCGGCUAACUCCGUGCCAGCAGCCGCGGUAAUAC
rnacentral:rRNA from 1 species